rnacentral:ncRNA from 1 species
AUAAAUACUGAGACGGGGAGUAGUAGAGGAAUUCCGAACUUCAGAGAGCUGGCGGAGGGUGCGAGCCGGCGGGAAGGAUUCUUUGAACUGGCCCCUGAGUAGCUUUCCCAAGGGCGAUCCAGCCUGUGUAAGAAAUGCCGGCCCCUGACCGUUAUACAAGGAAUCGAGCGCAUGCGCCAAAUGGCGCGUGAAUCAGAGUGGUACCGCGCGGGAGCUUAUGUCCUGCGUCUCUAGC